UACGGGGGGGCAAGCGUUGUUCGGAAUUACUGGGCGUAAAGGGCGCGUAGGCGGCUCGUUAAGUCGGGUGUGAAAACUCUGGGCUCAACCCAGAGCCUGCAUUCGAAACUGACGAGCUAGAGUUCUGGAGGGGAAAGCGGAAUUCCUGGUGUAGCGGUGAAAUGCGUAGAUAUCAGGAGGAACACCGGUGGCGAAGGCGGCUUUCUGGACAGAAACUGACGCUGAGGCGCGAAAGCUAGGGGAGCAAACAGG
rnacentral:rRNA from 1 species